rnacentral:lncRNA from 1 species
UAAAAAAAUAUAGAAAAAUGAUUUAAUUUAUUUUGAAAAACAUUUUAACUAAUAAAUUUAUAUGCAUUUUUUUAUAGUAAACAAAUUUAAAAAUACAAUUGUCUAGAAAUCAUAACUCUGGCUUUAUGCAUUUUGGAAAUUAGCCUGCAUAGCAUUGAUGAUGUUAAAAGAGUUGUCGAGCUCCUAUCUUUUCAAGAAGUUCUUAACAAGUCUUCACAUCAUACGUACAACCAUCUUUCUCUUUAUAAAGGUAAAA